ACCAAAAACAAAGAUCAAAUUUACCAUUCAAGCUUUUCCUCGAUUACUUAGAGCAUACAAAUUUAUUUUGCUAAUCAAACCCUAAGAAAUUCAUUUCAUCAAGGACAGAAACAAUCCUAAACUUCAAGAAAAACAAAACGAGACAUGUUGUCACUUACUUGUCGGAUUUUAGAACAAAUGUGUCAACAAAUAUGAUUUCUUUGACGUUGAUUUGUUAAAGAUAAAGGAAUGAAUGAAUAAAUAAAUGAGUUUUUUUUUCUUCCAAUAAUCAAGUUUGACAACUUUCAAACCAACAAAUAUUGUAACCAAAAAAAAAAAAAACCAACAAAUACGAAUAUGCUCUGCCAUUCUGUUUAGGCGUAAAAAUGUUACG
rnacentral:lncRNA from 1 species